rnacentral:rRNA from 1 species
UACGUAGGGCGCAAGCGUUUGUCCGGAAUUAUUGGGCGUAAAGAGCUCGUAGGCGGUUUGUCGCGUCUGCUGUGAAAUCCCGAGGCUCAACCUCGGGCUUGCAGUGGGUACGGGCAGACUAGAGUGCGGUAGGGGAGACUGGAAUUCCUGGUGUAGCGGUGGAAUGCGCAGAUAUCAGGAGGAACACCGAUGGCGAAGGCAGGUCUCUGGGCCGCAACUGACGCUGAGGAGCGAAAGCAUGGGGAGCGAACAGG